AGCAGCCCGGGCAAUCGCUGGACAUUUCAUGUCCGGAGGAAAGUCCGAACACCGCAGGGCAGGGUGCUCCAUAACGUGGAGUCGCGGCGACGCGAAGGAAAGUGCAACAGAGAGCAGACCGCCGUUUUCCGCGGGCAGCGGCCCGACACCCGGGCCAAAAUUCCGGCGGCUGACGGUAAGGGUGAAACGGUGCGGUAAGAGCGCACCAGUUCUCCGGGCGACCGGAGAAGCUAGGUAAACCCCACCCGGUGCAAGACCAAAUAGGGGAGUGCUUGAGGGCGGCCCGUCCGAGCUCCCGGGUAGGUUGCAAGAGGUGCCGGGCAAUCGGCAUCCAUAGAGGAAUGAUUGCCGCCAUCCUUCGGGGUGGAACAGAAUUCGGCUUAUGGGCUGCUCC
rnacentral:RNase_P_RNA from 1 species